rnacentral:rRNA from 1 species
GAUGAACGCUGGCGGCGUGCCUAAUACAUGCAAGUCGAGCGAACAGACGAGGAGCUUGCUCCUCUGACGUUAGCGGCGGACGGGUGAGUAACACGUGGAUAACCUACCUAUAAGACUGGGAUAACUUCGGGAAACCGGAGCUAAUACCGGAUAAUAUAUUGAACCGCAUGGUUCAAUAGUGAAAGACGGUUUUGCUGUCACUUAUAGAUGGAUCCGCGCCGCAUUAGCUAGUUGGUAAGGUAACGGCUUACCAAGGCAACGAUGCGUAGCCGACCUGAGAGGGUGAUCGGACACACUGGAACUGAGACACGGUCCAGACUCCGACGGGAGGCAGCAGUAGGGAAUCUUCCGCAAUGGGCGAAAGCCUGACGGAGCAACGCCGCGUGAGUGAUGAAGGUCUUCGGAUCGUAAAACUCUGUUAUUAGGGAAGAACAAAUGUGUAAGUAACUAUGCACGUCUUGACGGUACCGAAUCAGAAAGCCACGGCUAACUACGUG